AAGAGUUCCUUUUGAUCAGGUUUUUCUUCGUCGUUUCUUUGUACUUCUCUUUCUCUCUCUCUCUUUCUGCAUAUGAGACGAAUUAAAAUGGCCGGAUCUAGGCGUAGGUACUGCGUAUAUCAAGGAAAAAGAAAGAAAGAAAGAAAAGAAGAAAGAAAGAAAGAAAGAAAGAAGGUACGAGAGGAGUAUGCAUGGAAAGGACCCCAAGAAAACGAAAGAGAGAAAGAGAGAGAAGGAAAGAAAAAGAGAGAGAAAGGGAGACAACGGACGGGCACGAUCAAGAGGGAUCGGUCAGUGAGUGGUAGACAAAGGAGGAUGAUAUGGGAAUAAACUUUCUGGAAGAUGACGGAAUGGAAAGCCUACGACACGACGAACCAUUUAGUUUUGAUUUGCAAUCCAUGGUCAAGGAAUGGUACCGGUUGGCCAUGUUCAAGAGUGGGGUUACGAAUCGACUCAAAUUUCGGACAGUAUAAAACGCGUCUGCUUUCAUCCUAAGCUGAACAAAGGAACGAUAGAUACACCCUACACGUAGACGAAGGAAGAACUUGUAAGACUUUAGCUAAAAAAGAAUAUACACGGUAUUCUUCGAAUUUUUGUGGUAUCCAUGAAGAGAUCUACAAAACAAUUUGCCAGGGCUCUUGUAAGCUCUGCUAGAGUCCUCGACA